UUUAACCAUCGAAAUCACCAAAACCUUUCUCCAGCUUAUCUAUUUUCCGCUCUUUUUCACUCUCGUUGUGCACUUCGCUAGAGCAUCGACCAUAUACCGACGCUCAACCCAUCUCGCUGCUGUUCUCUUUCAUCUUCUCACCAUUAAAUGCGUGCUUCUUCUUGAUCUGUUCAAUCCUGACACUGCUGGCGUUUGAUGCUGCUGCACAUCGUUGGCUUCCCUUGCAAUUGUCGACGGUGGCCGAAAGUGCCGCCACGCUUCCCCUCUUGUUUUCUUAACUUGUUUAGGGUUGAAUUGAAUUGGGUUUAAGAGGAUGAUGGAAAUAAUGGCGGAUUAGAGUAGCAAACAUACAUGAUACAUCGAGAAGCAUGCCUAUACAUGGAUAAUAGAAUUGAAGAAUAAUGAAAGAAUGACCUUUAUAUUGAUUUAGGUUUAUUUAAGGAGAGAUAUAUAUAUUAUGAUUUUAUGAUUUAAUUUUCAGAUUAACUAUUUAUAUUUUGGAUGCAAUAGUAUGUUUUCGAUUGAGUAUACUCUUUGGCUCAUUUUUUGCAAUGGCCGUUGAGUAUUUCUACUCAUUUAUAUCAAUAAUAUCAUUUUAUUUCCUCUUCAA